GAGUAUGGCCUGCUGCCUCUCUCUCACAAUGUUAGGAUUAAAAAGCGGAUCCCUUACAUUAUCAGAACUAAACGUCUGCCGUGGUGUAUGUACCAGUCAGCUGUUGGUAUUGUGGAUCAUGCGUUGCUGGUCUAGUCAUGGGAGCGUCUGGAUCAAGCACCCAUGCAACACUGCGAAGCACACGUGUGGACCCAAGCCACUAAAAAAAGAAACAUGUUCUGGAUAUGAAGGGAGUUAUCAUAGAACAUUAAAUGGUAAAGUUGAUAGAAACUCAAAAUUUGAGAGAAGAAAAUGUACAAAAAUCAAUGUUUAAAACCAAAUAUGAAAGUGAAUUAAGAAAUACAAAUGUCUGAGCCAAAUAUGAGAUCAAUAAAGAAAGAAAUCAGAUUACUUGACAAAAAACAAAAAUAAUGGAUGUAAAAGAAAAAAAAUAGCAUCAUUGAUAUGGUGUCAACCUAGGAUUGGAAAAAGGAGUAGAGAGGAAGCUGGAUAGAUGGAUGAUUUUUAAAGAUCAACAGGAUUGGCAUGGAUUAGAAUAAUGCAAAAAAAAAAAUUUGAGGAAGCAAAAAGAGGAAGACCAUAUCUAACAUUGGGUGUCAAGGACUAAAAGAAGAAGAAGAAUUCUGUCAACGAGUAUGGAGUACUAGCUGUAAUACAAAUCAGUGUUGGAGGGGACCUCCAGUAUAUUCCAGUCCAGCCACCUGCCAGUGCAAGAAGUCUGCUUCUAUCUCAUCCCUUUCAGGUGAGGACCAGCCUCUGUUUGAAACCAUUAAUGCUACAGGACACGGUACUGAAAUAAGAAGCCAUGGGGUGCAUGCAGUACAGGCAGGCAGACGUUUUCUGGGGCAAGAUGUUUGAAGGAGAAAAGAAUCUGGGAAAUUCUGAAAUACUAUGAAUACUGUUUUCCUCAAAAAGCACGGACCAAAAAAGUAUGAUAGAAAUGAAAACUGAGGACAGAUGUCUUCACGUAUGCCAAAAACUGGACAGUGGUUACACAAUGAAUACUAAUUCAAGUGAAUUCAGGUUGGUUUCAAAAUGCUCUGUUAACAAUUUGAUACUUGUUGGAGUCAGAUCAAUAUUCCUACUUACACUAUAUUAUAAAUGGAUCUUAGAUAAACAUUUUCCCCUACAAAAUUGCAGUGAGACGUGCUACAAGUCAACCCUAAGGUUACUACAGAGAACUCAAAAUAAUGCUGCAUUGUUAUCAUCAUUUUGAACUAAAUCCCCAAAGAAAUGAUCUCAAGGCUAAAUACGAGUUUGUUUAAACCCAACUUUUUUUUUUUUAAACUCUGGCCUUUCAGUACCUCCAUUCCCAUACCUGCCACUCCAACCAUAGUUUGAAAUUGGCAUCACAGGCCCUUUAGGGCAACGUGCUUCUUUAGCUUAUGCACCAAAAAAAAAGUCUAAGUGUAAAUGCACUCAUGAUAAUGAUGUACAGUAAAAUUAUAUGCAUAUAUGCUGCAUCCCUGCAUACACUUCUGUAGAAUUAAACCUUACUGAAAUUUC